rnacentral:rRNA from 2 species
AAAUUGAAGAGUUUGAUCAUGGCUCAGAUUGAACGCUGGCGGCAGGCCUAACACAUGCAAGUCGAACGGUAACAGGAAGCAGCUUGCUGCUUUGCUGACGAGUGGCGGACGGGUGAGUAAUGUCUGGGAAACUGCCUGAUGGAGGGGGAUAACUACUGGAAACGGUGGCUAAUACCGCAUAACGUCGCAAGACCAAAGAGGGGGACCUUCGGGCCUCUUGCCAUCAGAUGUGCCCAGAUGGGAUUAGCUUGUUGGUGAGGUAACGGCUCACCAAGGCGACGAUCCCUAGCUGGUCUGAGAGGAUGACCAGCCACACUGGAACUGAGACACGGUCCAGACUCCUACGGGAGGCAGCAGUGGGGAAUAUUGCACAAUGGGCGCAAGCCUGAUGCAGCCAUGCCGCGUGUAUGAAGAAGGCCUUCGGGUUGUAAAGUACUUUCAGCGGGGAGGAAGGUGUUGUGGUUAAUAACCACAGCAAUUGACGUUACCCGCAGAAGAAGCACCGGCUAACUCCGUGCCAGCAGCCGCGGUAAUACGGAGGGUGCAAGCGUUAAUCGGAAUUACUGGGCGUAAAGCGCACGCAGGCGGUCUGUCAAGUCGGAUGUGAAAUCCCCGGGCUCAACCUGGGAACUGCAUUCGAAACUGGCAGGCUUGAGUCUUGUAGAGGGGGGUAGAAUUCCAGGUGUAGCGGUGAAAUGCGUAGAGAUCUGGAGGAAUACCGGUGGCGAAGGCGGCCCCCUGGACAAAGACUGACGCUCAGGUGCGAAAGCGUGGGGAGCAAACAGGAUUAGAUACCCUGGUAGUCCACGCCGUAAACGAUGUCUACUUGGAGGUUGUGCCCUUGAGGCGUGGCUUCCGGAGCUAACGCGUUAAGUAGACCGCCUGGGGAGUACGGCCGCAAGGUUAAAACUCAAAUGAAUUGACGGGGGCCCGCACAAGCGGUGGAGCAUGUGGUUUAAUUCGAUGCAACGCGAAGAACCUUACCUGGUCUUGACAUCCACGGAAGUUUUCAGAGAUGAGAAUGUGCCUUCGGGAACCGUGAGACAGGUGCUGCAUGGCUGUCGUCAGCUCGUGUUGUGAAAUGUUGGGUUAAGUCCCGCAACGAGCGCAACCCUUAUCCUUUGUUGCCAGCGGUUAGGCCGGGAACUCAAAGGAGACUGCCAGUGAUAAACUGGAGGAAGGUGGGGAUGACGUCAAGUCAUCAUGGCCCUUACGACCAGGGCUACACACGUGCUACAAUGGCGCAUACAAAGAGAAGCGACCUCGCGAGAGCAAGCGGACCUCAUAAAGUGCGUCGUAGUCCGGAUUGGAGUCUGCAACUCGACUCCAUGAAGUCGGAAUCGCUAGUAAUCGUGGAUCAGAAUGCCACGGUGAAUACGUUCCCGGGCCUUGUACACACCGCCCGUCACACCAUGGGAGUGGGUUGCAAAAGAAGUAGGUAGCUUAACCUUCGGGAGGGCGCUUACCACUUUGUGAUUCAUGACUGGGGUGAAGUCGUAACAAGGUAACCGUAGGGGAACCUGCGGUUGGAUCACCUCCUUA